rnacentral:lncRNA from 1 species
GAUAUUUUGCACAGAAGCUUGCUGGGAGAUGUUAUCUAGACACUCUACGAAUAUAAACCUAAUAUAUUUGGCUUUAUGCACCUGAGCUUCUUCAGUGAAUAAACCUGCAACUUCCUACGUAUCGCUAACAAAGAAUCUGCUGCAAUUUCCACAAUGUAAACAGACUUAUUGUCUAUGCAACAGAUUGUAAUAAACUUUUCAUCGCAAUUUCCCAUGUUUCACUCGACAUUAACAAAUGUAAUCUGCAUAGUUUAGUAACCAAUGAGCUUAGAGCUAAACAAUAAUUUAUCAACAAUGAUAAAAUGAAUUAGAAACUCCAUGUAUUUCUCAAAUUAUGUAUAUAAUUUACUUCUGAAUACAAGAACAGUGAUUAGAACAGGAAGCAGUAAGCAGACAGGGACUGUGAUUUACAACUCAUAGUCAAGAUUAGGUAACUUAGAGAAGCAUAUAUUUCAUUUAUUCAUUUAAAACUGAAAAAAUGUGCCUAAUAAUCAAGUUUCAUACAUAUUCUUCUGCGAAGAACGAGUUUCACAGGAGCCACAUGUUCGAGCCAAAAUAAUUAAACAAGCCAAGCCAUAUGUAGAUUCAUCAGCCAGAUAGACAUGAUAGCAACAAUUGACAACUUUUUCCAAUAUCAUAAGGAAUUCAAACAACGAAAAGGCUAAUGAUGUUAAGUACCAGACAGUAUGAAUGAUGAAAUGUUUGUAUAAAAAGGGCCUAAUUGGUGAUUUUACAACUUGAUCGUUUAAUUAACUCUGUUAAGUACGAGGAAGGUUCUCUAAGGAUAGUGACAUGAAAUGGACUUUGUGCGCUACAUCCAAUCACAGGUAGUGAAAGAUUUCAUGUGAUUUUUAUAAUGUUGGCAUGUUAAAGAGUAUUGUCUUUGUUUUUUCGUUCGGAAGAAUAGAGUGCUAAUCCCAUAUAAUCCGAAAAAUGUAAAUGGGAAGGAGCAUUCUGCAGAUUCUUAGGAUGACUUCGGGCACUGCACACAUAUGACAGAAAUGCUUAUUAGCAGAUUAUAAACUUAGUUUCAUGGAGAUGACUAAUGUACCAUUUAAUGAUCACUUCACAAUAAAAGACCUUCAAUUAUGAAAUACUGAAAGCUCUGCAUUAAUCAGAAUCCCAUAAAAAAAUAAUCAAAAACCCUGUGAAAUUAGAAGGACACUUAACUAGAUACCUUUUGUUGGUUGGGUGUUACCUUGGUCGGAAUAGUAAAUUGCUCAAUUGCCUACAUAAAACAUAAAUAUUGUGGAACCAUAGAUGCAGGCAUCUUUGAGGUAAGGAAAAUGCUGGCAUCUGCUGUCAAAAAAUGGACAGAUAAACUGAUUCUGAUCAAUACAAUAGAACGCUUGGUAGUCGGCUACCAUUUUUCCAGUUGCAUUGAGGACCUGUUAGCAGAGAUUCAUGAAUCUCAUGCAAAUCUUGAAACUUAUGAAAAGUAUGAUCUGACUCAUCAACAGCAACAUGCACAGUCACCCUCUCGUCUCCACGUAAUGCAUCAUUUUCUUAAUAUAGCAAUAAACGGUGGAGCUAGCAAGCAAACUGUACAAGAUAUCAACCGGGAAGUGGGAACGCUCAGGAACGGAAACAGGGGGCAAUGGGGUGGUCAUGGUGGCCCAAAGCCUUCCCUAAGAGUUUGAAUUGAUCCUAUUUUGACUAUAAAAUUCGAUUUUAUAGUCGUUAUGUCCCCCCCAAAAAUCUCUCCAAAAGUUUGUAUUUAUUCAAUUUUGAGUAUAAAAAUUGAUUAUAGAAAUUUGAAAAUUCUCAAACCCUAAUAUAUAUACUCUCUAUUAUUGAAGCAGCCGUCUCUAUCAUCAGUGGGGCUUCAAUCGGUUUUCAACAGUGGAGAGCCCCAAAUCUUUUGUUUGUUUCAUCUUAUUUUUUUCUUUCAAUAAUCUUACUCGUUGAGGAAGGAUUUGUCUCAUUUGAUUUGUUUUUUAGACAUACAUCAUCGGAGCUUACAGUUUACUUUUUUAUUCGAUUGAAGCGGAGCUUAUCGGAUACGAGAGUUAAUCGUUCUUCUUGUGGUUUUGACGGUUAGAUCUAAGUUUUUUAAUUUUCAUUUGUUUUCAGUCUACUUUUAUUUCGAUUUGUAAUUUGUAUUUUCAGGUUGUUUUCUCUCCCAGGUGAGAGUUUUGUUUUUCGCUUCUUAAUUGUAAGCGGGGUCUUGAUUUGGUGAUGAAAGUUUGUAUGGAAUCGCAAGUCGAUAGCUCAAACUAUAGCUCUAUCAGGGCAUGAUGAAAAGGGUAACAAUAAUUCAAUGAGAAUGCAUGAAGCGAGUACUUGUAUUAGUAUAUACAUUUUCUUCAAAAAAUUGUUUAAUUGUCUCUUUAUAAGAACAGGCGAUUGCAAUAUACUCUUUGUUCGACUCGAUCAUUGGUGUAGAUGUCGUAUGACUUUUUAUUAUUAGAUUAAUACUUUUGUUUCAAAAUAAAAAUUGAUUAUAAUGUUCGUUUGGUACCUCACAAACUAACAAAUCUUGAUAGUCCCUUCAAAUAUAUACAGAAAUCUCAUGUAAAUUUGGAUUUUGUACAUACAAAUUCAUGAACUUGUCAAUAAAAUGUAGAUUGUCGGAAUGUAUCUUUUGCAUAAAGAAAUUUCGCCCCUCCAAAUUUUUUCUGGUUCCGUCCCUGCGAACGCUCAAUUCAGCUAUAAAUACAUGAGUAAUAUUGCUCUACAGUAUAUUCUAGAUAUUCACCUCAUACACGCACAGUAAGAAAGAAAGAGGUCAUAGCAAUUGAUAGAAAGAAUGGAAGCAUCAAAACUAGAAAAACUAGGUAGGUCUCUCCGGGUACCUUCAGUACAAGAACGUGCCAAGGAAAAAUCUGCCACAGUUCCAUCACGAUACAUUCAUUCUGAUCAAGAUCCUGUAAUUCUCAGUUCGACAGAUCUACCUGAAGUCCCUGUGAUUGAUAUGGAGAUCUUACUUCAUGGAGAUUUAAUGGACGCUGAGCUCAAUAAAUUUCACCAAGCAUGCAAAGAGUGGGGAUUCUUUCAGGUACACUAUUUUUAAGAUUAAUUUAUUUUUUUAGAGGAUGCUACUUGAAAAAAAAAAAAACUAGAUUACAACGCAUCUUUGCAGUUAAUAAACCAUGGUGUUAGCGAUUCAUUACUGGAGAAGGUGAAAACAGAGGUCGUGGAGUUCUUUAAGCUGCCACUUGAAGAGAAGAGAAAGUUUGGUCAACUGGAUGGAGAUAUAGAGGGAUAUGGACAAUCCUUCGUUGUCUCGGAGGAGCAAAAGCUUGAUUGGGCUGAUAUGAUCUACAUGAUCACCCUUCCUACUGAUCUCAGGAAACCGCACUUAUUGCCACAACUACCUCAUUCAUUCAGGUAACACAAAAUUUCUCUUAUAUUAAGGCUUUUGCAGUAAUUUCUCCUACCUCCCGAAUGAGCCAACUGACAUGCAUCAACCCAUAACAAAUAUGCAGAAAUGCUAUAGAGGAUUAUGCGGUGGAAUUGAAAAGCCUAGCCAUGAAUAUUCUCAAUCUAAUGGCCAAAGCUCUUCAAACGAAUCCUGAGGAAAUGGAAGUUCUCUUUGAAGAAGGCAUGCAAUCAAUGAGGAUGAACCACUAUCCUCCAUGCCCUCAACCGGAACAGGUUAUAGGGCUCACGCCCCACAGCGAUGCUUCUGGCUUCACUAUCCUUUUUCAACUGAAUGAAAUUGACGGCCUACAGAUUAGAAAGGACGGUACUUGGAUUCCAAUAAAACCGUUGCCUUCUGCCUUUGUUAUCAACAUCGGAGAUGUUCUGGAGGUAAAAUUAACUAUUUUAAAUUUUUAUUGCUUGUAAAUGGAUGGACUAACAUGACUUAAUCUGUAGGUUAUAACCAAUGGAACUUAUCAUAGCAUUGAGCAUAGAGGAGUUGUCAACUCAGUGAAGGAGAGAAUGUCAAUUGCUACAUUUUUAAGCCCCAAGGUAGAUGCAGAAUUCGGUCCUGCACCAAGCCUUCUCACGUCCCAAGCUCCUCCAAAGUUUAAAUGGAUUGCUGCUGCAGAUUUCUUUAAAGGAUAUUUUGCACAGAAGCUUGCUGGGAAAUGUUAUCUAGACACUCUACGAAUAUAAACCUAAUAUAUUUGGCUUUAUGCACCUGAGCUUCUUCAGUAAAUAAACCUGCAGCAUCCUACGGAUCGCUAACAAAGAAUCUGCUGCAAUUUCCACAAUGUAGACAGACUUAUUGUCUAUGCAACAGAUUGUAAUAAACUUUUCAUUGCAAUUUCCCUUGUUUCACUCGAGCUUCACGCAACAUUAACAAAUGUAGUCAAAAGUAGAUAUGUAGUAAUCUGCAUAGUUUAGUAAAUGAUGAGCUUAGAGCUAAACAAUAAUUUAUCAGCAAUGAUAGAAUGAAUUAGAAACUCCAUGUAUUUCUUAAAUUAUGCAUAUAAUUUACUUCCGAAUACGAGAACAGUGAAAACAGGAAGCAGUAAGCACACAGGAACUUUGUUUUACAACUCAUAGUCAAGAUUAGGUAACUUAGAGAAGCAUAUAUUUCAUUUAUUCAUUUAAAACUGAAAAAAUGUGCCUAAUAAUCAAGUUUCAUACAUAUUCUUCUGCGAAGAACGAGUUUCACAGGAGCCACAUGUUCGAGCCAAAAUAAUUAAACAAGCCAAGCCAUAUGUAGAUUCAUCAGCCAGAUAGACAUGAUAACAACAAUUGACAACUUUUUCCAAUAUCAUAAGGAAUUCAAACAACGAAAAGGCUAAUGAUGUUAAGUACCAGACAGUAUGAAUGAUGAAAUGUUUGUAUAAAAAGGGCCUAAUUAGUGAUGGUUUACAACUUGAUCAUUUAAUGAACUCUGUUAAGUACGAGGAAGGUUCUCUAAGGAUAGUGACAUGAAAUGGACUUUGUGCACUACAUCCAAUCACAGGUAGUGAAAGAUUUCAUGUGAUUUUUAUAAUGUUGGCUUGUUAAAGAGUAUUGUCUUUGUUUUAUAAUUUUGAGUAUAAAAAUUGAUUAUAGAAAUUUGAAAAUUCUCAAACCCUAAUAUACUCUCUAUUAUUGAAGUAGCCGUCUCUGUCAUCAGUGGGGCUUCCAUCGGUUUUCAACAGUGGAGAGCCCCAAAUCUUUUGUUUGUUUCAUCUUAUUUUUUUCUUUCAAUAAUCUUACUCGUUGAGGAAGGAUUUGUCUCAUUUGAUUUGUUUUUUAGACCUACAUCAUCGGAGCUUACAGUUUACUUUUUUAUUUGAUUGAAGCGGAGCUUAUCGGAUACGAGAGUUACUCGUUCUUCUUGUGGUUUUGACGGUUAGAUCUAAGUUUUUUUAAUUUUCAUUUGUUUUCAGUCUACUUUUAUUUCGAUUGGUAAUUUGUAUUUUCAGGUUGUUUUCUCUCCCUGGUGAGAGCUUUGUUUUUCGCUUCUUAAUUGUAAGCGGGGUCUUGAUUUGGUGAUGAAAGUUUGUAUGGAAUCGCAAGUCGAUAGCUCAAACGAUAGCUCUAUCAGGGCAUGAUGAAGAGGGUAACAAUAAACGAGAAUGCAUGAAGCGAGUACUUGUAUUAGUAUAUACAUUUUCUUCAAAAAAUUGUUUAAUUGUCUCUUUAUAAGAACAGGCGAUUGCAAUAUACUCUUUGUUCGACUCCAUCAUUGGUGUAGAUGUCGUAUGACUUUUUAUUAUUAGAUUAACACUUUUGUUUCAAAAAAAAUUUGAUUAUAAUGUUCGUUUGGUACCUCACAAACUAACAAAUCUUAAUAGUCCCUUCAAAUAUAUACAGAAAUCUCAUGUAAAUUUGGAUUUUGUACAUACAAAUUCAUGAACUUGUCAAUAAAAUGUAGAUUGUCGGAAUGUAUCUUUUGCAUAAAGAAAUUUCGCCCCUCCAAAUUUUUUCUGGUUCCGUCCCUGCGAACGCUCAAUUCAGCUAUAAAUACAUGAGUAAUAUUGCUCUACAGUAUAUUCUAGAUAUUCACCUCAUACACGCACAGUAAGAAAGAAAGAGGUCAUAGCAAUUGAUAGAAAGAAUGGAAGCAUCAAAAGUAGAAAAAAUAGGGAGGUCUCUCCAGGUACCUUCAGUACAAGAACUGGCCAAGGAUGAAUCUGCCACAGUUCCAUCACAAUACAUUCAUUCUGAUCAAGAUCCUGUAAUUCUCAGUUCGACAGAUCUACCUGAAGUCCCUGUGAUUGAUAUGGAGAUCUUACUUCAUGGAGAUUUAAUGGACGCUGAGCUCAAUAAAUUUCACCAAGCAUGCAAAGAGUGGGGAUUCUUUCAGGUACACUAUGUUUAAGAUUAAUUUAUUUUUUUAGAGGAUGCUACUUGAAAAAAAAAAAAAAAACUAGAUUACAACGCGUCUUUGCAGUUAAUAAACCAUGGUGUUAGCGAUUCAUUACUGGAGAAGGUGAAAACAGAGGUCGUGGAGUUCUUUAAGCUGCCACUUGAAGAGAAGAGAAAGUUUGGUCAACUGGAUGGAGAUAUAGAGGGAUAUGGACAAUCCUUCGUUGUCUCGGAGGAGCAAAAGCUUGAUUGGGCUGAUAUGAUCUACAUGAUCACCCUUCCUACUGAUCUCAGGAAACCGCACUUAUUGCCACAACUACCUCAUUCAUUCAGGUAACACAAAAUUUCUCUUAUAUUAAGGCUUUUGCAGUAAUUUCUCCUACCUCCCGAAUGAGCCAACUGACAUGCAUCAACCCAUAACAAAUAUGCAAAAAUGCUAUAGAGGAUUACGCGGUGGAAUUGAAAAGCCUAGCCAUGAAUAUUCUCAAUCUAAUGGCCAAAGCUCUUCAAAUGAAUCCUGAGGAAAUGGAAGUGCUCUUUGAAGAAGGCAUGCAAUCAAUGAGGAUGAACUACUAUCCUCCAUGCCCUCAACCGGAACAGGUUAUAGGGCUCACGCCCCACAGCGAUGCUACUGGCUUUACUAUACUUUUUCAACUGAAUGAAAUUGACGGCCUACAGAUUAGCAAGGACGGUACUUGGAUUCCAAUAAAACCAUUGCCUUCUGCCUUUGUUAUAAACAUCGGAGAUGUUCUGGAGGUAAAAUUAACUCUUUUAAAUUUUUAUUGCUUGUAAAUGGAUGGACUAACAUGAUUUAAUCUGUAGGUUGUAACUAAUGGAACUUAUCGGAGCAUUGAGCAUAGAGGAGUUGUCAGCUCAGUGAAGGAGAGAAUGUCGAUUGCUACAUUUUUAAGCCCCAAGGUAGAUGCAGAAUUCGGUCCUGCACCAAGCCUUCUCUCGUCCCAAGCUCCUCCAAAGUUUAAAAGGAUUGCCGCUGCAGAUUUCUUUAAAGGAUAUUUUGCCCAGAAGCUUGCUGGGAGAUGUUAUCUAGACACUCUACGAAUAUAAACCUAAUAUAUUCGGCUUUAUGCACCUGAGCUUCUUCAGCAGAGGCGGACGCACGUUCAGGGUCAUGGGGUCACGUGCCCCCAUAUAAUAUUGAGUAUCCCACAAGUAUAUAUAUUUUUGAAAAAUUAAGGAUCAUUUAAUUUAUCUAAUAAGUAAUUUAUAAGUCAAAAAUAUCUCACUAAAACAAAUAAAAGGAAGUUUUAAACAAAUAAUUUAAAUUAAGAUGAAUUUUUGGCUCUAACAAAAAUUUAUGUUCUUUUAUAAUAUCAUUAUUUAUAUGGUGCCCCGUCUUUAUAAUUGUUCUAGAUCCGCCACUGUUCUUCAGUGAAUAAACCUGCAACUUCCUACGUAUCGCUAACAAAGAAUCUGCUGCAAUUUCCACAAUGUAAACAGACUUAUUGUCUAUGCAACAGAUUGUAAUGAACUUUUCAUUGCAAUUUCCCUUGUUUCACUCGAGCUUCACGCAACAUUAACAAAUGUAGUCAAAAGUAGAUAUCUAGUAAUCUGCAUAGUUUAGUAAAUGAUGAGCUUAGAGCUAAACAAUAAUUUAUCAGCAAUGAUAGAAUGAAUUAGAAACUCCAUGUAUUUCUUAAAUUAUGCAUAUAAUUUACUUCCGAAUACGAGAACAGUGAAAACAGGAAGCAGUAAGCACACAGGAACUUUGUUUUACAACUCAUAGUCAAGAUUAGGUAACUUAGAGAAGCAUAUAUUUCAUUUAUUCAUUUAAAACUGAAAAAAUGUGCCUAAUAAUCAAGUUUCAUACAUAUUCUUCUGCGAAGAACGAGUUUCACAGGAGCCACAUGUUCGAGCCAAAAUAAUUAAACAAGCCAAGCCAUAUGUAGAUUCAUCAGCCAGAUAGACAUGAUAACAACAAUUGACAACUUUUUCCAAUAUCAUAAGGAAUUCAAACAACGAAAAGGCUAAUGAUUUUAAGUACCAGACAGUAUGAAUGAUGAAAUGUUUGUAUAAAAAGGGCCUAAUUGGUGAUGGUUUACAACUUGAUCGUUUAAUUAACUCUGUUAAGUACGAGGAAGGUUCUCUAAGGAUAGUGACGUGAAAUGGACUUUGUGCACUACAUCCAAUCACAGGUAGUGAAAGAUUUCAUGUGAUUUUUAUAAUGUUGGCUUGUUAAAGAGUAUUGUCUUUGUUUUUUCGUUCGGAAGAAUAGAGUGCUAAUCCCAUAUAAUCCGAAAAAUGUAAAUGGGAAGGAGCAUUCUGCAGAUUCUUAGGAUGACUUCGGGCACUGCACACAUAUGACAGAAAUGCUUAUUAGCAGAUUAUAAACUUAGUUUCAUGGAGAUGACUAAUGUACCAUUUAAUGAUCACUUCACAAUAAAAGACCUUCAAUUAUGAAAUACUGAAAGCUCUGCAUUAAUCAGAAUCCCAUAAAAAAAUAAUCAAAUUUCAUGAAGACCCUGUGAAAUUAGAAGGACACUUAACUAGAUACCUUUGGUUGGUUGGGUGUUACCUUGGUCGGAAUAGUAAAUUGCUCAAUCGCCUACAUAAAACAUAAAUAUUGUGGAACCAUAGAUGCAGGCAUCUUUGAGGUAAGGAAAAUGCUGGCAUCUGCUGUCAAAAAAUGGACAGAUAAACUGAUUCUGAUCAAUACAAUAGAACGCUUGGUAGUCGGCUACCAUUUUUCCAGUUGCAUUGAGGACCUGUUAGCAGAGAUUCAUGAAUCUCAUGCAAAUCUUGAAACUUAUGAAAAGUUGACGCAGAACGGAACACUCGGAUCAACAAACGUUAAUCCUUAUGCACACACACACAAAUCCGCCAACGCGAAUUUGAAAGUUAAAUCUGGAAUCCACCAGAAAAGAUGAGAAAACUCUCAAGGGUUUUGUUUAUUCAAUCAUAAGCUGCCGACUUUUUGCUUACAAUAUUGUUUAUAUAGGAAUAUAAAACCCUAAAACAUAAUAAUAAAAAACAAAUUCUACUUAAAAAUAAAAUAUUAAAUAUAAGUGGCAUGAUCAUGCAGCCAGUCAGCGUGAUCAUGUUGUUGUCCUCUCUAGCCUCUGGAGCUUUUUCCUGCUUUGGCAUGAUCAUGCAGCCCUUUAGCAUGCUCAUGCUGUUUUCCUCCCUUCUUCUUUGCAGGCCUUUUCAUGUCAAGCUUCUCUUCAAAAUUCUGAGCCUCUUGUUCUACAUCAAAAGUAUGAUCUGACUCAUCAACAGCAACAUGCACAGUCACCCUCUCGUCUCCACGUAAUGCAUCAUUUUCUUAAUAUAGCAAUAAACGGUGGAGCUAGCAAGCAAACUGUACAAGAUAUCAACCGGGAAGUGGGAACGCUCAGGGACGGAAACAGGGGGCAAUGGGGUGGUCAUGGUGGCCCAAAGCCUUCCCUAAGAGUUUGAAUUGAUUCUAUUUUGACUAUAAAAAUCGAUUUUAUAGUCGUUAUGUCCCCCCAAAAAUCUCUCCAAAAGUUUGUAUUUAUUCAAUUUUGAGUAUAAAAAUUGAUUAUAGAAAUUUGAAAAUUCUCAAACCCUAAUAUACUCUCUAUUAUUGAAGUAGCCGUCUCUAUCAUCAGUGGGGCUUCCAUCGGUUUUCAACAGUGGAGAGCCCCAAAUCUUUUGUUUGUUUCAUCUUAUUUUUUUCUUUCAAUAAUCUUACUCGUUGAGGAAGGAUUUGUCUCAUUUGAUUUGUUUUUUAGACCUACAUCAUCGGAGCUUACAGUUUACUUUUUUAUUUGAUUGAAGCGGAGCUUAUCGGAUACGAGAGUUACUCGUUCUUCUUGUGGUUUUGACGGUUAGAUCUAAGUUUUUUUAAUUUUCAUUUGUUUUCAGUCUACUUUUAUUUCGAUUGGUAAUUUGUAUUUUCAGGUUGUAUUCUUCUUGUCGUAUGACUUUUUAUUAUUAGAUUAACACUUUUGUUUCAAAAAAAAAUUUGAUUAUAAUGUUCGUUUGGUACCUCACAAACUAACAACAUCAUUGGUGUAGAUGUCGUAUGACUUUUUAUUAUUAGAUUAACACUUUUGUUUCAAAAAAAAUUUGAUUAUAAUGUUCGUUUGGUACCUCACAAACUAACAAAUCUUAAUAGUCCCUUCAAAUAUAUACAGAAAUCUCAUGUAAAUUUGGAUUUUGUACAUACAAAUUCAUGAACUUGUCAAUAAAAUGUAGAUUGUCGGAAUGUAUCUUUUGCAUAAAGAAAUUUCGCCCCUCCAAAUUUUUUCUGGUUCCGUCCCUGCGAACGCUCAAUUCAGCUAUAAAUACAUGAGUAAUAUUGCUCUACAAUAUAUUCUAGAUAUUCACCUCAUACACGCACAGUAAGAAAGAAAGAGGUCAUAGCAAUUGAUAGAAAGAAUGGAAGCAUCAAAAGUAGAAAAAAUAGGGAGGUCUCUCCAGGUACCUUCAGUACAAGAACUGGCCAAGGAUGAAUCUGCCACAGUUCCAUCACAAUACAUUCAUUCUGAUCAAGAUCCUGUAAUUCUCAGUUCGACAGAUCUACCUGAAGUCCCUGUGAUUGAUAUGGAGAUCUUACUUCAUGGAGAUUUAAUGGACGCCGAGCUCAAUAAAUUUCACCAAGCAUGCAAAGAGUGGGGAUUCUUUCAGGUACACUAUGUUUAAGAUUAAUUUAUUUUUUGAUGAAAAAAAAACUAGAUUACAACGCGUCUUUGCAGUUAAUAAACCAUGGUGUUAGCGGUUCAUUACUGGAGAAAGUGAAAACAGAGGUCGUGGAGUUCUUUAAGCUGCCACUUGAAGAGAAGAGAAAGUUUGGUCAACUGGAUGGAGAUAUAGAGGGAUAUGGACAAGCCUUCGUUGUCUCGGAGGAGCAAAAGCUUGAAUGGGCUGAUAUGUUCUACGUGAUCACCCUUCCUACUGAUCUCAGGAAACCGCACUUAUUGCCACAACUACCUCAUUCAUUCAGGUAACAAAAAAUUUCUUUUAUAUAAAGGCUUUUGCAGUAAUUUCUCCUACCUCCCGUAUGAGCCAACCGACAUGUAUCAAACCAUAACAAAUAUGCAGAAAUGUUAUAGAGGAUUACGCGGGGGAAUUGAAAAGCCUAGCAAUGAAUAUUCUCAGUCUAAUGGCCAAAGCUCUUCAAAUGAAUCCUGAGGAAAUGGAAGAGCUCUUUGAAGAAGGCAUGCAAUCAAUGAGGAUGAACUACUAUCCACCAUGCCCUCAACCGGAACAGGUUAUAGGGCUCACGCCCCACAGCGAUGCUACUGGCUUCACUAUCCUUUUUCAACUGAAUGAAAUUGACGGCCUACAGAUUAGAAAGGACGGUACUUGGAUUCCAAUAAAACCAUUGCCUUCUGCCUUUGUUAUAAACAUCGGAGAUGUUCUGGAGGUAAAAUUAACUCUUUUAAAUUUUUAUUUCUUGUAAAUGGAUAGACUAACAUGAUUUAAUCUGUAGGUUGUAACUAAUGGAACUUAUCGGAGCAUUGAGCAUAGAGGAGUUGUCAGCUCAGGGAAGGAGAGAAUGUCGAUUGCUACAUUUUUAAGCCCCAAGGUAGAUGCAGAAUUCGGUCCUGCACCAAGCCUUCUCUCGUCCCAAGCUCCUCCAAAGUUUAAAAGGAUUGGCGCUGCAGAUUUCUUUAAAGGAUAUUUUGCACAGAAGCUUGCUGGGAGAUGUUAUCUAGACACUCUACGAAUAUAAACCUAUUUUAUCACCUGAGCUUCUCCAGUGAAUAAACCUGCAACUUCCUACAUAUCGCUAACAAAGAAUCUGCUGCAAUUUCCACAAUGUAAACAGACUUAUUGUCUAUGCAACAGAUUGUAAUAAACUUUUCAUCACAAUUUCCCAUGUUUC